rnacentral:rRNA from 1 species
AGAGUAUGAUCCUGGCUCAGAACGAACGCUGGCGGCAGGCCUAACACAUGCAAGUCGAACGAACCUUUAUGGUUAGUGGCGCACGGGUGCGUAACGCGUGGGAAUAUACCCUUUGGUGCGGAAUAACACAGAGAAAUUUGUGCUAAUACCGCAUAAUGACUCCGGUCCAAAGAUUUAUCGCCAAAGGAUUAGCCCGCGUUAGAUUAGCUAGUUGGUGAGGUAAUGGCUCACCAAGGCUACGAUCUAUAGCUGGUCUGAGAGGAUGAUCAGCCACACUGGGACUGAGACACGGCCCAGACUCCUACGGGAGGCAGCAGUGAGGAAUAUUGGACAAUGGGCGCAAGCCUGAUCCAGCCAUGCCGCGUGUAUGAAGAAGGCCUUAGGGUUGUAAAGUACUUUCAAACGUGAAGAUAAUGACGGUAGCGUUAGAAGAAGCUCCGGCUAAAUUCGUGCCAGCAGCCGCGGUAAUACGAAUGGAGCAAGCGUUGUUCGGAAUCACUGGGCUUAAAGCGUGCGCAGGCGGACUUACAAGUCAGGAGUGAAAUCCCGGGGCUCAACCCCGGAACUGCUUCUGAAACUGUAGGUCUAGAAUCCGGGAGA